rnacentral:rRNA from 1 species
GACGAACGCUGGCGGCGCGCCUAAUACAUGCAAGUCGAGCGAGAACCAGGGCUUGCCCUGGGGAGAGCGGCGAACGGGUGCGUAUCACGUGAGCAACCUGCCUCAGAGACCGGGAUAACUCGAGGAAACUCGGGCUAAUACCGGAUGCCCUCGGUGGACCGCAUGGUCCGGCGAGGAAAUGGAUUCCGCUCUGAGAUGGGCUCGCGGCCUAUCAGCUUGUUGGUGGGGUAACGGCCUACCAAGGCGACGACGGGGAGCGGGUCUGAGAGGACGAUCAGCCACACUGGGACUGAGACACGGCCCAGACUCCUACGGGAGGCAGCAGUAGGGAAUCUUGCGCAAUGGGGGAACCCCUGACGCAGCGACGCCGCGUGCGGGAUGAAGGCCUUCGGGUCGUAAACCGCUUUCAGCAGGGACGAAAUUGACGGUACCUGCAGAAGAAGGCCCGGCCAACUACGUGCCAGCCGCCGCGGUAA